AUUGAACGCUGGCGGCAUGCCUUACACAUGCAAGUCGAACGGUAACGCGGGGCAACCUAGCGACGAGUGGCGAACGGGUGAGUAAUGCAUCGGAACGUGCCUGGUAGUGGGGGAUAACUGCUCGAAAGAGCAGCUAAUACCGCAUACGACCUGAGGGUGAAAGGGGGGGAUCGCAAGACCACUCGCCAUCAGAGCGGCGGAGGUCGGAUUAGCUAGUUGGUGGGGUAAAAGCCCACAAAGGCGACGAACCGUAGCGGGUGUAAGAGGACGACCAAGCGCACUGGGGCUGAGACACGGCCCAGACUGCUACGGGAGGCAGCAGUGGGGAAUUUUGGACAAUGGACGCAAGUCUGAGCCAGCCAUGCCGCGUGCGGGAAGAAGGCCUUCGGGUUGUAAACCGCUUUUGUCAGGGAAGAAAUCUUCUGGACUAAUACUCUGGGAGGAUGACGGUACCUGAAGAAUAAGCACCGGCUAACUACGUGCCAGCCGCCGCGGUAAAAC
rnacentral:rRNA from 1 species